GCAAGUCGCACGAGAACGCUUUAGCUUGCUAGAGCUAGUAAAGUGGCGCACGGGUGAGUAACGCGUGGGUAAUCUACCCUCGAAUCGGGGAUAACAUCGCGAAAGUGAUGCUAAUACCGGAUCAUGUCCCGGGGUCUUCGGCCUCUGGGAUCAAAGGUGGCCUCUACAUGUAAGCUACUGUUUGGGGAUGAGCCCGCGUACCAUUAGCUAGUGGGUAGGGUAACGGCCUACCAAGGCUGCGAUGGUGAGCUGGUCUGAGAGGAGGAGC
rnacentral:rRNA from 1 species